GUACACGCUGUGACUAGCAUAUCAAUAAGCGGAGGAAAAGAAACUAACAAGGAUUCCCCUAGUAACGGCGAGUGAAGCGGGAAGAGCUCAAAUUUGAAAUCUUAAAGGGUUUCCCUUUACGAAUUGUAGUUUAAAGAAGUGUUUUCUGUUGAGGUUUUGGUAAAAGUUCUUUGGAAUAGGACAUCAUAGAGGGUGAGAAUCCCGUAUUUGACCUUUACUUUCAACUUUGUGAUACACUUUCAAAGAGUCGGAUUGUUUGGGAAUGCAGUCCAAAAUGGGUGGUAAAUUUCAUCUAAAGCUAAAUAUUGGCGAGAGACCGAUAGCGAACAAGUACCGUGAGGGAAAGAUGAAAAGAACUAUUGAAAAGAGAGUUAAACAGUACGUGAAAUUGUCAAAAGGGAAGCGUUUGACACCAGUGUUGUUUUUCUGAAAAUCAAUUAAAGAACUGUUUAUGCUAAGCUGUUUAGACUUUAUCAGCUAUCUGUUUAGUUUUGAGCUUUUCUUUAAUGCACUUUUCAGUUAACAAGUCAACAUCAAUUUCUUUUGCUGUAAAAAAGCUUGAGGAAGGUGGCUUGAGAUUCGUCUUAAGUGUUUAUAGCCUCUUGCCUAUGCAGUCGGAGAGAUUGAGGUCUGCAGCGUAGAUCCUUCGGGGCUAAAUGCAUUUGUGCUAAGUUAUAGCAUUUUAUAGACAACUUGUUGACUAUGAUUUGUCUUGUAGCUUACUCGCUUAUGUUAUUUUACCUACGCUUAGGAUGUUGAUAUGCAUGACUGAUAU
rnacentral:rRNA from 1 species